CGCAUCCACGUUGUCCAUCGGGCGAGCCGGGCGACUCUGGAGGGACUGCCGGCGACAAGCCGGAGGAAGGUGGGGAUGACGUCAAGUCAUCAUGGCCCUUAUGUCCAGGGCGACACACGUGCUACAAUGGCCGGCACAGCGGGAAGCGGAGGGGCGACCCUGAGCGGAUCCCUUGAAAGCCGGUCCCAGUUCGGAUUGCAGUCUGCAACUCGACUGCAUGAAGUUGGAAUCGCUAGUAAUCGCGGAUCAGCCAAGCCGCGGUGAAUACGUUCCCGGGCCUU
rnacentral:rRNA from 1 species